rnacentral:rRNA from 1 species
UACAGAGGGUGCAAGCGUUGUUCGGAAUUAUUGGGCGUAAAGGGCGCGUAGGCGGAUGGUACAGUCAGAUGUGAAAUUCCCGGGCUUAACCUGGGGGCUGCAUUUGAUACGUGUUGUCUAGAGUGAGGAAGAGGGUCGUGGAAUUCCCAGUGUAGAGGUGAAAUUCGUAGAUAUUGGGAAGAACACCGGUGGCGAAGGCGGCGACCUGGUCCUUUACUGACGCUGAGGCGCGAAAGCGUGGGGGAGCAAACAGG